CCUUAAGGAACGCAGACUAGGAAUGCCGCAUCCUGUGGCAACGUCUGCAUGGCCAGCUUCCUGGGGG
rnacentral:sRNA from 17 species